CCAACGUGGAUACCCGAGAGGUCACUCUCCCCAGGCUCUUUCCAGGUAGUGUAGAGGAGCACAGGCCUCUGCCCCCUGAUGUACAGUUCCCUUUCCACAACGUUGGAGAAGAAGCUGGGUCUUGUGUCUGCGCCUGAAUAUUCUAACAACUUCUCAGAGUCCUUUGGGCAGUGACUGAGGAGAUAAACCAUGCAGGAAACAAUG
ensembl:snoRNA SNORA73 Small nucleolar RNA SNORA73 family